rnacentral:rRNA from 1 species
GCAGCAGUGGGGAAUAUUGGACAAUGGGCGCAAGCCUGAUCCAGCCAUGCCGCGUGAGUGAUGAAGGCCUUAGGGUUGUAAAGCUCUUUCAGUGGGGAAGAUAAUGACGGUACCCACAGAAGAAGCCCCGGCUAACUUCGUGCCAGCAGCCGCGGUAAUACGAAGGGGGCUAGCGUUGUUCGGAUUUACUGGGCGUAAAGCGCACGUAGGCGGAUUGUUAAGUCAGGGGUGAAAUCCUGGAGCUCAACUCCAGAACUGCCUUUGAUACUGGCAAUCUAGAGUCCGGAAGAGGUGAGUGGAACUCCUAGUGUAGAGGUGGAAUUCGUAGAUAUUAGGAAGAACACCAGUGGCGAAGGCGGCUCACUGGUCCGGUACUGACGCUGAGGUGCGAAAGCGUGGGGAGCAAACAGGAUUAGAUAC